UGCUCCGCAAUGAUAAAGACAGAUUAUGAUGGAUCUUCAGGGAGCAUCAUUCAUCUGUUUGGGAACUCAGGCCUUAUUUACCUUCUUGGGCUUGGCUUCAUGUUCCACAGUUCCUGUGCCCGGCAGCCACUGCAGGGGAACAGUGCCCACGGUUGCAGUGUCCCCAUCCUGCACCAGGUGGAGCCCAGGAAACUGCAUGGAGAAGACAAGUUUGCCCCUACAGAUCUUCUUGUCCCCACAGAUGCUGUCUCUGGAAGAUUUUCUAGCAUGAUAGAAAAUGUAUCACGUGGCAUAUUUACGUGGCAUAACAACAGUCAAAUAAAACCAUGUUUUCUUCAAAUUACA